rnacentral:rRNA from 1 species
AAUCAACGCUGGCGGCGUGCCUAACACAUGCAAGUCGAACGCGAAAGCCCUUUCGGGGGUAAGUAGAGUGGCGUCCGGGUGAGUAACACGUAGGUAAUCUACCUUCGGGUGGGGAAGUAACUCGCCGAAAGGCGAGCUAAUACCGCAUAAUGCAGCGGCACCUAAUGGUGAUUAGUUGUUAAAGCGGGGGAUCGUAAGACCUCGCGCCUGAAGAGGAGCCUGCGGCAGAUUAGCAGUUGGUGAGGUAAUGGCUCACCAAGGCUUCGAUCUGUAGCUGGUCUGAGAGGACGGCCAGCCACACUGGCACUGACACACGGGCCAGACUCCUACGGGAGGCAGCAGUGGGAAUUUUGGGCAAUGGGCGCAAGCCUUGACCCAGCAACGCCGCGUGAGGGAGGAAA